GGUUGGUUAGCUCAGUUGGUUAGAGCGUCGUACGUUGCGCUUGACAUUCCUUUGCUUAAUUAACAAUAAAAACUAACCUGCCCUAGGUACUAAUAAUGCGAAGGUCAUGAGUUCGACCCUCAUACUGACCA